UACGUAGGGUGCGAGCGUUGUCCGGAAUUAUUGGGCGUAAAGGGCUCGUAGGCGGUUUGUCGCGUCGGGAGUGAAAUCCACUGGCUUAACUGGUGGCUUGCUUUCGAUACGGGCAGACUGGAGGUAUGCAGGGGAGAUCGGAAUUCCUGGUGUAGCGGUGAAAUGCGCAGAUAUCAGGAGGAACACCAGCGGCGAAGGCGGCUCGUGGG
rnacentral:rRNA from 1 species